rnacentral:siRNA from 1 species
UGAACAGCCUCUGGUCGA